ACAGUUUUCUACAGAGGCAGCAUAUGGUUUUACAGCAGGAGCCAUUGCCUUUCUGGUUAUUAAUGCUUUCCUCAUGCUGAUUGCUGCCUAUAGGAACCUGGUUUUACUGUUUCUAACAACAGUAAUGGAGGUUGUUCUGGUCUGUUUCCUGCUGUCUACCCUGCAGCGACUGCCGUACCAACUAGAAAUGGCCAUGCUUGCAUUGGUUUCAAUUAUUUCUAUAUAUGGAGCUCUUGCAUCACUAGUCAACUACAUCUUCUCACAGAGACUGCUGCCUAU